AACUUUCAGCAAUGGAUCUCUUGGCUCUCGCAUCGAUGAAGAACGCAGCGAAAUGCGAUAAGUAAUGUGCAUUGCAGAUUUUCAGUGAAUCAUCGAAUCUUUGAACGCACCUUGCGCUCCUUGGUAUUCCGAGGAGCAUGCCUGUUUGAGUGUCAUUAAAUUCUCAACUGCUUUGGCUUUUUACGGCUGAAGUGAAGUUGGAUUUGGAGGAAUAAUUGCUGGCGUGAUCUUUUUAGGUUGCGUAUUAACGACUCUGAAAUAGAUAAUCUUGCCAGUAUCAAAGGAACAGAAGAGUGAUAAUUAUCUACGUUGAAUAAACUUACACAAAGAAGCAGCAAAUCUGUCUUGGAGGGAAAACCACCCUCAACGAAACAAAUGACAAAUUUCACCUCAAAUCAGGUAGGACUACCCGCAGAACUUAAGCACAUCAAUAAGCGGACGCU
rnacentral:misc_RNA from 1 species